GUUGUCCCCUUUUUUCUGGUAACUUGUAUUUAGGCAAAGCUGAGAUCAACUGUCUAGUCUUUAUCCUUCUAAAUACCUGUCUCAAAGCUGAGAAUUUAGUUGGAAAGAUUUAAGUCUGCUUCAUCAUCUGUGGAAGUGAUUUCACAGUUGAUUGUCUAUAGUGCAAUCAAGGAGCAACCCAAAAUGAAAUCAUUUUGAGAAAAGUGCUGUUGGAAUCUACUGACUCCAUCCAAUAAAAACAGAGAAAAGUCAUUUUGCCUUGUCAUGGCUGAUGCAAACAAAAUUAGCUUUCAAAUUUAUACUAUUUAAAAUUGCACAUGUUAUAAAACAUGUUUUGCAGGAAGGAAAAAGAAGGAAAUUGCUG
rnacentral:misc_RNA from 1 species